UGCAGAGAGACCUCAUCUCUUUUUAUGUAAUUUGUACAUUUCUCCCAGACACACGAAAUCUCUGCACUUCCAGUCAGAUGCUGGGAAUGAAAUGAGCGACCAAAGGCCCAUUUGAAGUGGCGGCCCCAGAUCCUCCAAAGGCUUCGGCAGCAUCUGCCUUGUGCCCUUUCACGCUCUCUUGAAAAGAUGCUUUUCUAUUCCUGCUUCAGAGCCUGACGAGAAGACAACAGAGCUGAGGAGCUCUCAGAGCCAGAGCAGAGGAGCUGACACCAAAGAGGGCAUCAGCUACACAGCCUGGGACAGUGACGAUGGGAGCG
rnacentral:lncRNA from 1 species